rnacentral:tRNA from 1 species
UUCUGGUUAGCUCAGUUGGAACUUGGUAGAGCGCUCCACUGGAAUUGGAGAGGUCCCUGGUUCAAUACCAGGUCCAGGCG